GACGAACGCUGGCGGCGUGCUUAACACAUGCAAGUCGAACGGAAAGGCCCUGCUUGUGUGGGGUGCUCGAGUGGCGAACGGGUGAGUAACACGUGAGUAACCUGCCCUUGACGUGGGGAUAACUUCAGGGAACUGGGGCUAAUACCGGAUAGGAGCUCCUGCUGCAUGGUGGGGGUUGGAAAGUGUCGGCGGGUGGGGAUGGACUGGCGGCUUAUCAGCUUGUUGGUGGGGGAGUGGCCUACCAAGGCUUUGACGGGUAGCCCGCCCGGGAGGGUGACCAGCCACCUUGGGCCUGAGAGAGGGACCAGUGUCGUACGGGAGACAGUAGUGGCGAAUCUUGCACAAUGGGCCGAAGCCUGAUGAAGUAACGCCGCGUGCGGGAAGAGGGCUUUCGGGUUGUAAACCGCUUUCGCCUGUGACGACGCGUGGGUGACGGUAAUGGAUAAAGAAGCACCGGCUAACUACGUG
rnacentral:rRNA from 1 species